UGAGGAAUAUUGGUCAAUGGACGGAAGUCUGAACCAGCCAUGCCGCGUGAAGGAUGAAGGCGUUCUGCGUUGUAAACUUCUUUUAUCUGGGAAGAAACCACAGAUUUCUAUUUGUGUUGACGGUACCAGAAGAAUAAGCACCGGCUAACUCCGUGCCAGCAGCCGCGGUAAUACGGAGGGUGCGAGCGUUAUCCGGAUUUACUGGGCUUAAAUGGUGCGUAGGCGGGCUAUUAAGUCAGAGGUGAAAUCUCCGGGCUCAACCUGGAAACUGCCUUUGAUACUAUUAGCCUUGAAUUAUGUUGAGGUUGGCGGAAUAUAACAUGUAGCGGUGAAAUGCUUAGAUAUGUUAUGGAACACCGAUUGCGAAGGCAGCUGGCUAAACAUAUAUUGACGCUGAUGCACGAAAGCGUGGGUAGCGAACA
rnacentral:rRNA from 1 species